rnacentral:lncRNA from 1 species
UUCCCCCUGAAGAGCAUCCGCGUGCCUCUUUCCUUCUGAAGACCUUGCAAUGCGAUUCCUUCCUUUCCAGACACAACUUGGGCGGCAAGUACCUCUUGGGCAGCAUCUUGAAGACACUUGGGCAGCAAGUAAAAUCUUGGACAGCACACUCUUACCUUUUGAAGCCAUUCCGCGCGCCACUUUCCAUCUGAAGAGCAAGCGCACGCCUCUUUCCUUCUUAAUAAUUUUGGAACGCGAAUCUUUCCUUUUCUAACUCAACUUGGGCAGCAAGUACCUCUAGGGCAGCAAGGUCAGCAUCUAAAACCUAUUUAAAGACUCCUUAAAGGCCAGCCGAUCCUCUCUCCACGUUUUUGCAACACCAUCUGCGCAAGCCUCUCAUCCGGCUCCAUCUUCUCUUCAUCUUCUUCUUCCUUUCUUUCUUUUUUUGGUUUUUGUUUCAGCUAUGAGUGGCUGAAACCUUUUAAUCUAGUUGAAAAUUGGUUGAAACUAAGGUUGUUUUAAUGGAUUGUGAGAUCUAAACAUAAAUUGUUUGUCUUUAGUUUGUUUAAUAUUCAUACAAUUUGGUGCUUGAAUCUAUUAUUACUUUG